rnacentral:rRNA from 1 species
GAUGAACGCUGGCGGCGUGCCUAACACAUGCAAGUCGAACGGAAAGGCUCUGCUUUUGUGGGGUGCUCGAGUGGCGAAAGGGUGAGUAACACGUGAGUAACCUGCACUUGACUUUGGGAUAACUUCAGGAAACUGGGGCUAAUACCGGACAGGAGCUCCUGCUGCAUGGUGGGGGUUGGAAAGUCUCGGCGGUUGGGGAUGGACGGGCGGCUAAGCAGUUUGUUGGUGGGGGAGUGGAUUACCAAGGCGUUGGCGGAUAGCCGGCCUGAGAGGGUGAACAGGGACAAUAGUCCUAAGAUAGGGCCCAGACGCGAACGGGAGGCAACGGGGGGGAGUCUGACACAAUGAGCGGGAGUGUGAGGCAACAACGCCGCGUGCGUGAAGCCGGCCUUCUGGUUGAGAACCGCUUUCGCCUGAGACGAAGCGGGAGUGACGGUAACGAAUAAAGAAGCACCGGCUAACUACGUG